ACGGAAGAGCGGCCUGGACACGGCCCGGCUCGACGGGCGGCGCGCGCGCCUGGGGAGCCUCGGGAACCCGCCGAGGCCUGAGCUCUCCGUUUCCUGGGUCCCGAGCUCCCUGAGAAUCCCAUGGGUGCUGUGCACUCUGACGUCACACUCACAUCUGUAACGGGGCGGCAAGUGCGGUUCCGCAGACUGCAGAGGUCUCUCCUAUGAGAACAGAUGAGAAGUCGGCAGUGCAGAGCAGGCGGCAGCGUCUGGAGACUGUGCGACCGGGCGCGGGAAGCCGUGGGCCCUGCAGCCUGAGGACGCCACGCUGAAGGGGGCUGUGGGCAAUGAAGCCGCUUCUGUGAGACAAAUGCAAAUCCAAGCUUGGUUGCAUACCAGAUUCGUCUGUGGAGCCCGCACUCCAGACCUCCUGAAUCAACAUUUCCUGGAUGAGGCUCAGGUACAAACAUUUUCACAAAGACCCACAGACGAUUCAGAUCUGUAAAGAGGAACGAAUUCAUCCAGUGUGUUGCCACAGAGCACACCCUUUGGAGUCGCAUCCCUCCGGGCUCUGAGACAGGCUUCUCCACUCUGCCAAGCGAAAGCUGCUCUGGGCUCAGUGUCCUCAACUGAAUUCUGAGUCAAAGUUCGGAGCACCUCUAAGUAUCUUGACAUAUAUUAUUACAUUGCUUUUCGGGAAACUUCCAUGAAUUUAUGUAUCUACCAGCCAUGUGUGAGAAUGCCUGCUUCACUUCAUGCUCAACUACAGAAUCCAUUAAAUUGAACUGGCAAACUGUAUCUGCGAAGGUCGGCACUGAGCUCUUCUCAGCACGAACACGGACGUGAUCAUGGAGGUGACAAGGGCUCUUGAAAAUGUGAGAUUAACCACUUGGUGUUUAGAAAGGAUUGGUUAUGCAUUAGUUUUGUCGACAGAUUCGAAAGAGUCAAGCUGACCAGUUACAUCACCUAUAAUAUUCAGGUGGAAGGGCAACAACCUCCAGAUGGAUAUGAG
ensembl:lncRNA